rnacentral:rRNA from 1 species
GACGAGCGCUGUUGGCGUGCCUAACACAUGCAAGUCGAGCGAAGUGAGUACUACGGUACGAACUUAGCGGCGGACGGGUGAGUAACGCGUGGACAAUCUACCCUGUAGACUGAGAUAACACCUCGAAAGGGGUGCUAAUACCGGAUAAUGUCGAGAAGCGGCAUCGCUUUUCGAAGAAAGGAGAGAAUCCGCUAUAGGAGGAGUCCGCGUCCCAUUAGCUAGUUGGUGAGGGUAACGGCCCACCAAGGCGACGAUGGGUAGCCGGCCUGAGAGGGUGAACGGCCACACGGGAACUGAGACACGGGCCAGACUCCUACGGGGGGCAGCAGUGGGGAAUAUUCUGCAAUGGGGGAAACCCUGACACAGCAACGCCGCGUGAGCGAAGAAGGCCUUCGGGUUGUAAAGCUCAAUAGUAUGGGAAGAUAAUGACGGUACCAUACGAAAGCCCCGGCUAACUACGUGCCAGCAGCCGCAGUAACAC